AGAGUUUGAUUAUGGCUCAGGACGAACGCUGGCGGCGUGCUUAACACAUGCAAGUUGAACGGUAUGACAUGGAAGCUUGCUGAAGUGUCAUAUAGUAGCGGACGGGUGAGUAAUGCAUGAGAAGCUGCCAUUGGGAGGGGGACAACAGUUGGAAACGGCUGCUAAUACCCCGUAUGCCGGAAGGUGAAAGGGAGCGAUCCGCCCGAUGAGGUGCUCAUGUCCUAUCAGCUGGUUGGUGGGGUAACGGCCUACCAAGGCGACGACGGGUAGCCGGCCUGAGAGGGUGAACGGCCACACUGGAACUGAGAUACGGUCCAGACUCCUACGGGAGGCAGCAGUGGGGAAUAUUUGGGGCAAUGGGGGCAACCCUGACCCAGCGACGCCGCGUGGGGGAAGACGGCCUUCGGGUUGUAAACCUCUUUUGUACGGGAAGAAGGAAGUGACGGUACUGUACGAAUAAGUCCCGGCUAACUACGUGCCAGCCGCUGC
rnacentral:rRNA from 1 species